rnacentral:tRNA from 1 species
UCCCUGCUGGUCCAGUGGUUAGGACUUGGUGUUUUUACUGCUGUGGCCCAGGUUCAAUCCCUAGUCAGGGAG